UAUAGAGAGAGAUAAGAGUUGAUUAUGGCAUUAAUUAUAUUCACUAUAUUUAAAAAUCAUUCCAUAGGAAUACGCUGAUCAGGCAUACCAUUAUAUCCAUGGAUUGGUGAUGUGAAUACUGCUGAUUAUUUCUUCAUUGCAUCAGGUAGAGUGUGGUACAUAGUAGGCAGCCAGGGGACAUUGUGUCUUCAAUUGGCCAGGCAUGAAGAUUUGAGUAAGUGUGAUAAGCGCUAAAUUGUAACUGCUAGAUGACUGAGUCACAUCUCAAAAACUGCAGUUCUUGUGGUGUGUUUGCUGGGGCCAAUACCCACUAACAGUCGUUCAUGGAAGAAGCAAUAAUGAAACUGAGACAAGGUCAAAGGUGGCCAAGGUUCAUUCAUGCAGCUCAGAAGUAAAUACUGUUCCAACAGAUUAUCUUCUGUAGCUCAGAUUACCAAAAAAGAUAAAACGUACACCCUACAGUUUUUACAAAUCAAUCAUGAUCAACAAAAUUGAACUUUUUGACAAAAAAAUAUACAAAGGAAAAACUCUUUCAUGUCAAAGUGAAAACUAAUUUCUUCAAAAAUAAUGCCAAAUAAACAUGUGUAACAUGAAAUAAGUGACUCCAUAAAUACUCAUCUCAUCUGACUAACUAACCUAAUUCAACAGAGGUCCAGUGAGUUGCUAGUAGUCCUUACAAUGAGAGGCAUUAAAAUCACCUAAGUGCAGUGAACGCGUCUCAAGUGACCGUAGUGUAAAGACACCUGUACCUGAAAGGUCCAUCCUCUGGUUAAUCAGUAUUUACCAGUGUUCUUUUGUUCUUCAUGCUACCAUUACAGCAUGAAGACAAAAGAACACUCCAAGUAAAUUAGAGAAAAUGUUACUGAAAUGUGUAAGUCAGAGGAUGGAUUCAAAAAGUCUUUAUGGUACUAAAUAUGCCCUGGAGUUCAGUUAAAUUGUCAAGAACUGGAAGGAAUAUGCCCAAUGUGUAAAUCUGCCUACAUCAGGCUGUCCUCACAAACUGAGUGACAGUGCAAGAAGGAGACUAGUGACACCAGGACACCCAUAUCUACGCUGAAGGAGUGACAGGCUUCAGUCGUUAAGACGGGAGACUCCCACCAAUCACCAUCCAUAAGGAGCUGGGAGAAGUCCAGGGCUGACUUGGCUGCAAUCAGCAGCAAACACCUGCCCUCUAAAGGGCAGGUGGGCCAUACCUGAUUGGUGUAUGUUUUUCUUAUUCUCCAUUAAUUUGUGUAAUUUUACCCUUUGAUUUAGAAACUACUGUAUGUUCCUCACUUUGGAUUUUCUAUGCAUUUAGAAGCUGCUCAGGGAAAUCAACAUGUGUGCAUAGUUCCUGUUAUGGAUUUACACCACUAUUAAACAAGUAAUUUUUACCAACAAAACACUCCACAUGUUGCCAGGUAACAACAGAUUUUCCAAGGUGAAUACUGGUUCUAGAUUCAAAAUCUCAUCAUUAAGGCAUUGUUUCAAAUAAAAUAUGCGUAUUGUGUGUGGGUAGGUUGCUCAGUAGGUGUAUGCUUUUAAGUAGAAAAGUCUACAGAAACUAUUACUAUUAACAGUGAACACUAUAGACUUCAGAGGCUGAGACAAUUAAUCCAGUUUUAACUCACAUUUGCACUAAUAUUUGGUAAAAGGCUAUGAGUGUUUCACAUAAAUCUCUUUGGUUUGUUGACAUAAACUGGCUUUUAUCUCUGUGAUUCACUUCUGUUGUCCCUCCACUUUUUUCUUCUGUUGCAUCCUUCCAUCCCUGCUCACUGUUUUCAUCGUUCAUGACUUCUUAUCUUCGUUUUGAUACAUUUGGUUCCCCCUCCCGCUGUUCAUCUGUAUGUACCCUACUGAGGCGACUCACCUGAACCUCAACCAGCCCGCUGUCAGGGUGAUAAGGUAAACCUUGCUGGAAGGAGAUAACACCCCACUGGGAUAUUUGGUUGUACACAGACACACAAGUGCACACACGCAAACACGAAUUAAGUCGGGGCAGACGGUAAAAAGCCUCUCAGUUGCCAUAGGAACUUGACCAGAAGCCUAGCAUGCACUCCUAUCAUCGUAAACUGACCUAACAACCCCCACUGUGUACACUGGCCAGAUGAGGUGCUUACAGGAAAAACCUCAAACACAGGGAUGAGGAAUCAAAGUUGCAGGGUGCCUUAUAAAAAUAUAGGUUUCUUUUUAUUAGAUUACAAAUGACAAAUCCUUAAAGUUCAGGAACAGAAAUUUUCACCUUCACCACCAGCAACUCUAGUUGGACAAAGUUAAGAAAUAAUGCAGUAAAAACCAAAGACUAUAAACUGAUAAAUAUCUAUACUUGAAUCCAUGUUUUUGUGUUGUAAAAUUAUUCCUGCCUUAUAAGAAAUACAAUUGUUACAUAUCAAAACAGUGCUUUAAACUUGUCAACAAAACGUGAACAUCUUGUACCCCAGAUGAUAAUUCUCAGCCUGCAGCUACAAAAACUGUUUCAUGGCUAGCUUGUUCCAUCUGGUGGUCACAGGUGAAUGCUACAGUUCUAUGCAAUAUUUACAGCUGAAAAAUAUACAUACAUGCACAAUUAUUUUGGUCAGUUUUUGAUUAAAAACAAGCAAUGUUUUGUUCAUUUGACUUUGUUCAUGAAAAAAUUAAAAUUCAAAGUAACACAAAAGAAAGAAUGACUGCUUUCACAACAAAAGAAAUAUCUAAAAUUAGAGUCGUAUAAAAAACACUGCAAGCAAACAAAUUUAUAACAUUCAAAAUGUUUAUAUUUACCAAGUUAAGCUAAAAUAUAAGGUGAAAGAUGAUAAUAGAUUAAGAUUUGGGAGCUGAAACAGUCAGCUCUGUGUUUGGGAGCCAUGCAAAAAGAGAAGAACUUCUCAUUAGUGUUGCCAGAAUACUUUAUUUCUGCAUGGCAUCAGUGAAAGGAAGCACAUUAUCCACAGAUAAUCAGUCAGUCUUUUAUUUGUGCCAGCUAAGAAAGAGGCUGUGAAAAUAUUUUUCCAAGGACGAUGUCUAUCACCUCACGCCAUGAGUCCAUCUCUAGUUGGUUUUUCCUCACAUUGUAAGUAAGUUCCGCUAAUGCUAAACAUGAAUAGGAAUUUACAAAAUUGAUAUGAAAUUUGUCUAUCAUUUCAGUCAGGCACUGUAAAAAAAAUUACUGAUGCAACUUAUCAUUGUGAAACAUUUCAGGAAAGCAUCAGCAGAUUUAAAAUUGAAAAACUCUUCUAAAGGCUGAUUGAUUUUGACCCACAGCAAAAUGUUAUACAAGUUUUCUUAAAGCUAAUUCAAGAUUUAUUUAAGGAUCAAAUUAUGUUUCACACAUCUUUCACACAUUUUCUACUUUACAAUUAACAAUGUUUAGAAUAUGGCUUUAUCGAUUAUCGAUUAUCUCCCUAAGUUUGAAUGACAUUUUAAGCCACAAAAUAUUAUACAGUUUUGCAUCCAGUGGUAUAAAGUUAUUUAGGAGAAAAUAAAACAGAACUAAUUUCUCAUGUCUUCAGAAGUAAGAAUCACAGCAGUUACACACAUUAUUUAGGUAAAACUAAAAAAUAUAUGCAAAAUAAAAAAAUAACAAUC